rnacentral:rRNA from 1 species
GGCAGACGGGUGAGUAACAUGUAGGUAUCUGCCCUUUGGCCUGGAAUAACACGAGGAAACUUGUGCUAAUACCGGAUAAGUCUUUACGGAGAAAGCUUUAUGCACCAUUGGAUGAGCCUGCACUUGAUUAGUUUGUUGGUGGGGUAAUGGCCUACCAAGACUGUGAUCAAUAGCUGAUUUGAGAGGAUGAUCAGACACAUUGGGACUGAGACACGGCCCAAACUCCUACGGGAGGCAGCAGUGGGGAAUCUUGCACAAUGGAGGAAACCCUGAUGCAGCGAUGCCGCGUGAGUGAAGAAGGCCUUUGGGUUGUAAAGCUCUUUCGUCGGGGAAGAAAAUGACUGUACCCGAAUAAGAAGGUCCGGCUAACUUCGUGCCAGCAGCCGCGGUAAUACGAAGGGACCUAGCGUAGUUCGGAAUUACUGGGCUUAAAGAGUUCGUAGGUGGUUGAAAAAGUUGGUGGUGAAAUCCCAGAGCUUAACUCUGGAACUGCCAUCAAAACUUUUCAGCUAGAGUAUGAUAGAGGAAAGCAGAAUUUCUAGUGUAGAGGUGAAAUUCGUAGAUAUUAGAAAGAAUACCAAUUGCGAAGGCAGCUUUCUGGAUCAUUACUGACACUGAGGAACGAAAGCAUGGGUAGCGAAGAGGAUUAGAUACCCUCGUAGUCCAUGCCGUANACGAUGUGUGUUAGACGUUGGAAAUUUAUUUUCAGUGUCGCAGCGAAAGCGAUAAACACGC